rnacentral:tRNA from 3 species
GGGUGGUUAGCUCAGCUGGGAGAGCGUCUGCCUUACAAGCAGAGGGUCGGCGGUUCGAUCCCGUCACCACCCACCA